AUUAUUUAUUUACAAAAAUCACUCACUUCAAAAACUUGUGUUUUUACUGUGUUUUUCAAACACAGUAAAAACACAAGUUAUUAAAGACAACCACGGUAAACAGGCAGACCCAUUCCACGCCUUGGCUCAGCUCCAGACGAGAUAAUAGAAGCAGAGUGAUCCUUCCCAUGUUGGGUGGACUUAGAGCUGAAGCCUGCCCCACCUCCUCACCUCGGGACUAACGCUUACACUUGAAGCAGAAGAGAAAGUCUUUCAAAGCGGAGCAGGGAGAACGUGGACCUACUCCAUCGACCUGGUGAGUGCUGGCUGUGGUUCUUACU